GUAAUGCCGGAUGUUCCACAUGAUCGCAUGUGAUUGUGGGAAAGAUUCUAUCGGCGUGGGAUGGGGUCGCGUCCUAUCAGCUUGUUGGUGAGGUAACGGCUCACCAAGGCUUCGACGGGUAGCCGGCCUGAGAGGGCGACCGGCCACAUUGGGACUGAGAUACGGCCCAGACUCCUACGGGAGGCAGCAGUGGGGAAUAUUGCACAAUGGGCGCAAGCCUGAUGCAGCGACGCCGCGUGAGGGAUGGAGGCCUUCGGGUUGUAAACCUCUUUUGUUUGGGAGCAAGCCUUCGGGUGAGUGUACCUUUCGAAUAAGCGCCGGCUAACUACGUGCCAGCAGCCGCGGUAAUACGUAGGGCGCAAGCGUUAUCCGGAUUUAUUGGGCGUAAAGGGCUCGUAGGCGGCUCGUCGCGUCCGGUGUGAAAGUCCAUCGCUUAACGGUGGAUCUGCGCCGGGUACGGGCGGGCUGGAGUGCGGUAGGGGAGACUGGAAUUCCCGGUGUAACGGUGGAAUGUGUAGAUAUCGGAAAAGA
rnacentral:rRNA from 1 species